UACGUAGGGGGCAAGCGUUGUCCGGAUUUAUUGGGCGUAAAGAGCGUGUAGGCGGCCAGACAGGUCCGUUGUGAAAACUCGAGGCUCAACCUCGAGAUGUCGAUGGAAACCGUCUGGCUAGAGUCCGGAAGAGGAGUGUGGAAUUCCUGGUGUAGCGGUGAAAUGCGCAGAUAUCAGGAAGAACGCCCGUGGCUAAGGCGGCUCUCUAGUACGGUACUGACGCUGAGACGCGAAAGCGUGGGGAGCAAACAGG
rnacentral:rRNA from 1 species